rnacentral:rRNA from 1 species
UUAGCGGCGGACGGGUGAGUAACACGUGGGUAACCUGCCUGUAAGACUGGGAUAACUCCGGGAAACCGGGGCUAAUACCGGAUGGUUGUUUGAACCGCAUGGUUCAGACAUAAAAGGUGGCUUCGGCUACCACUUACAGAUGGACCCGCGGCGCAUUAGCUAGUUGGUGAGGUAACGGCUCACCAAGGCGACGAUGCGUAGCCGACCUGAGAGGGUGAUCGGCCACACUGGGACUGAGACACGGCCCAGACUCCUACGGGAGGCAGCAGUAGGGAAUCUUCCGCAAUGGACGAAAGUCUGACGGAGCAACGCCGCGUGAGUGAUGAAGGUUUUCGGAUCGUAAAGCUCUGUUGUUAGGGAAGAACAAGUGCCGUUCAAAUAGGGCGGCACCUUGACGGUACCUAACCAGAAAGCCACGGCUAACUACGUGCCAGCAGCCGCGGUAAUACGU